CUGGAAGCCAAGAUGAGGAGGUGGCAGAGAUUCAGGCCAGAGUUAUGGGCCGCCGUCGGCAGCAAGAACAGAGAGAGAGGUGGACAGAUCUGAGAGAUACUGAGGUUAAAAGGAGCCCAAGCCCCAUCUCAUUCUAGCACACCCUACUCCACCACUGUCCUGGCAGCAGCAGUCCCUGCACUAGAUCCAACAGUCCCGUUUGGGGUACAGGAAACAAAGCAGGAGGAGUUUGAGGUCCCUACACUGCAGCAGCAGAAGAAGAAGGAGUGGGGCCUGAAUUGACCAUAAAGGAUGUAAGGGCCACGUUGUUCCACUGUAAUGUCAAGGAGGGGGCAGCCAUUGUUUGUCCCAGCCUGGGGCUCCCCCUCUAGUUUCCUAUUUGUAGUUACUAGAAUUAAAAAAAAAAAAACCGUAUUUUCCGGAAUAGAUAAAUAAAUAAAUAAUCCACUGGCAGAAAUCAGAGAGCUUUA